AUCGAACGCUGGCGGCGGGCCUAAUACAUGCAAGUCGAACGAGUGGCGGACGGGCGAGCAAUUUCUUGGAAACUGCCUGAUGGAGGGGGAUAACUACUGGAAACCGUAGCCAAUACUGCUAAACAUCAGUUGUGCUCAGAUGGGAUUAGCUUGGGGGGGGGGUAUCGGCUCACAAAGGCGUCGAUCCCUAGCUGGUCUGAGAGGAUGACCGGCCACACUGGAACUGAGACACGGUCCAGACUCCUACGGGAGGCAGCAGUGGGGAAUAUUGCACAAUGGACGAAAGCCUGACGCAGCAAUGCCGCGUGUAUGAAGAAGGCCUUCGGGUUGUAAAAUACUUUCAGAGGGGAGGCGUUACCCACAGAGGAAGCCCCGGCUAACUCCGUGCCAGCAGCCGCGGUAAUAC
rnacentral:rRNA from 1 species